GACGAACGCUGACGGCGUGCUUAACACAUGCAAGUCGAAGGGAUUGGCGAACGGGUGAGUAACCCGUGAGUAACCUGCCCUUUUCUUUUGGAUAAGCCUGGGAAACUGUGUCUCAUACUUGAUGGUUUGGGUUGGGCUCGCGGCUUAUCAGCUUGUUGGUGGGGUGAUGGCUUACCAAGGCUUUGACGGGUAGCCGGCCUGAGAGGGUGGGCGGUGACACGGGGACUUGGAUACGGCCCAGACGCCUAAGGGGGGCAGCAGUGGGUGCUAUUGCACAAUGGACGAAAGGCUGAUGCAGCGACGUCGUGGGGGGGAUGAAGGCCUUCGGGUUGUAAACUCCUUUCGCCCGCGGAAUGGUAGUGGGUAAAGAAGCGCCGGCUAACUACGUGCCAGCCGCCGCGGUAAUAC
rnacentral:rRNA from 1 species